rnacentral:misc_RNA from 1 species
GAUGAAGAACGCAGCGAAAUGCGAUAAGUAAUGUGAAUUGCAGAAUUCAGUGAAUCAUCGAAUCUUUGAACGCACAUUGCGCCCGCCAGCACUCUGGCGGGCAUGCCUGUUCGAGCGUCAUUUCAACCAUCAAGCCCCCAGGGGCUUGUGCUGGGGCCCUGCGGCUGCCCGCAGGCCCUGAAAACCAGUGGCGGGCUCGCUAGUCACACCGAGCGCAGUAGCACAUCUCGCUCAGGGCGUGCGGCGGGCUCCUGCCGUGAAACCCCCCACUGUAACCCCAAAGGUUGACCUCGGAUCAGGUAGGAAUGCCCGCUGAACUUAAGCAUAUCAAUAAGCGGAGGA